rnacentral:rRNA from 1 species
AGUCGAACGCAUUGUGGUUGAAAUGAUAUGAAGAACUUGUUCAGAUUUGAUUUUCAACAUUGCAAUGAGUGGCGAACGGGUGAGUAACACGUGGGAAACCUACCUCUUAGCAGGGGAUAACAUUUGGAAACAAAUGCUAAUACCGUAUAAUAAUUAAAACCGCAUGGUUUUAGUUUAAAAGAUGGUCUUGCUAUCACUAAGAGAUGGUCCCGCGGUGUAUUAGUUAGUUGGUGAGGUAAUGGCUCACCAAGACAAUGAUACAUAGCCGAGUUGAGAGACUGACCGGCCACAAUGGGACUGAGACACGGCCCAUACUCCUACGGGAGGCAGCAGUAGGGAAUCUUCCACAAUGGACGAAAGUCUGAUGGAGCAACGCCGCGUGUGUGAUGAAGGGUUUCGGCUCGUAAAACACUGUUGUAAGAGAAGAAUGACAUUGAGAGUAACUGUUCAAUGUGUGACGGUAUCUUACCAGAAAGGAACGGCUAAAUACGUGCCAGCAGCCGCGGUAAUACGUAUGUUCCAAGCGUUAUCCGGAUUUAUUGGGCGUAAAGCGAGCGCAGACGGUUAUUUAAGUCUGAAGUGAAAGCCCUCGGCUCAACCGAGGAAUUGCUUUGGAAACUGGAUAACUUGAGUGCAGUAGAGGAAAGUGGAACUCCAUGUGUAGCGGUGAAAUGCGUAGAUAUAUGGAAGAACACCAGUGGCGAAGGCGGCUUUCUGGACUGUAACUGACGUUGAGGCUCGAAAGUGUGGGUAGCAAACAGGAUUAGAUACCCUGGUAGUCCACACUGUAAACGAUGAGUGCUAGUUGUUCGAGGGUUUCCGCCCUUGAGUGACGAAGCUAACGCAUUAAGCACUCCGCCUGGGGAGUACGACCGCAAGGUUGAAACUCAAAGGAAUUGACGGGGACCC